rnacentral:tRNA from 1 species
AGUAGGGUCAGCUAAUUUAAGCUCUUGGGCCCAUGCCCCGAACAUGUAGGUUAAAUUCCUGCCUCUGCUA